AAUGUAUCAUAUUAUAAAUAUCCAUUUAAUUACCUACAUGCACAUCUCAUUUAUUUAUUUGCUUAAAUUCAGUAUACUCACAUCGUCACUCCUAUGAAAAUGACAAGAACAAUAUUUUCUUCACAGGAUCCAGUGAUUGGAGGUAGCUUACUUUUGACAUACACAACUGGUUAUGUUUCUCCUUUACUUAGCUGCUUCUUUCGCUGGGGCAUUACAGAGCCUGCUUUCAUUUCGCAAGUUCUCAGCAUGGAUCAAUCCUAUGAGUGGAGCACUUCUGUUAGGAGGUGGUCUGUACACUUUCAUGGAUAGGGUAUUCCCAACAACAAUGGUGAUGUAGAAUAAGGAGGAAUAAACAUCUCUUAGGUCGUAAGUUCUCAA